ensembl:lncRNA
GGAGCCUGGUGGGCUACAGUCUACGGGGCUGCAAAGAGUUGGACACAGCUGAGCGACUUCACUUCACAUAUAGCAUUGUGUGUGUGGAUCCAUGGCUUGGCUUCUGCAGACUUCUUCACCAGCGUUGACCUGGAUGGCACAGAAGAAGGUUGAUCCCUGGGUCCAGAGUCCAGCCCCACCACUGCCCUGUCUUCUUCAUGGCCAAGUUCUCACCCGUCCCAGCAGGCCUCUUGGGGGCCACUGGGAUGGGGUGUCCAUGGCAGGAGCAGGGGUCCACGACGGGAUGGGGGUGUCCACACCAGGACUGGAGGGUCUUUGGGGGGCUGGAGGCCACGGGGCAGGCAGGAAGGCUCCCAGCAUUCAGGCGGGUCCACACAUCAUGGUCGUAGGCCCGCCCACAGUGCACCAGGCUGUCGAUGUGGUAGAAGGUGCAGUGGUCCGGGGACCACCAGUCCAGCCUGCGCAGGUGC